UGGGGCUCUUUGCUCUACAAGACAUCCCAAAAGGGGAGGAGCUGAAGUUCAACUACAACCUUGAGUGUCUUGGCAAUGGUAAAACUGCCUGUAAAUGUGGAGCACCCAACUGCAGCGGUUUCCUGGGUGUCCGGCCGAAGAACCAGCCGUCAGCUGAGAA